CUAACACAUGCAAGUCGAACGAGAACGGAUUUUAGUUUACUAAAAUUGUCAGCUAAGUGGCGCACGGGUGAGUAAUAUAUAGUUAACCUGCCCCAAAGAAGAGAAUAAUUGAUGGAAACGUCUUGUAACUCUCUAUAUGCCUUUAUCACAUAAGUGAGCAAGGGAACAUUUAUGGCUUUGGGAUGGGACUGUACGGUAUCAGAUAGUUGGUGAGGUAAUGGCUCACCAAGUCAAUGACGCCUAACUGGUUUGAGAGGAUGAUCAGUCACACUGGAACUGAGACACGGUCCAGACUCCUACGGGAGGCAGCAGUGGGGAAUAUUGCACAAUGGAGGAAACUCUGAUGCAGCAACGCCGCGUGGAGGAUGACACAUUUCGGUGCGUAAACUCCUUUUAUAUGAGAAGAUAAUGACGGUAUCAUAUGAAUAAGCACCGGCUAACUCCGUGCCAGCAGCCGCGGUAAUACGGGGGGUGCAAGCGUUACUCGGAAUCACUGGGCGUAAAGAGCAUGUAGGCU
rnacentral:rRNA from 1 species